rnacentral:rRNA from 1 species
CCUACGGGUUGCAGCAGUGGGGAAUAUUGCACAAUGGGCGCAAGCCUGAUGCAGCCAUGCCGCGUGUAUGAAGAAGGCCUUCGGGUUGUAAAGUACUUUCAGCGGGGAUGAAGGGAGUAAAGUUAAUACCUUUGCUCAUUGACGUUACCCGCAGAAGAAGCACCGGCUAACUCCGUGCCAGCAGCCGCGGUAAUACGGAGGGUGCAAGCGUUAAUCGGAAUUACUGGGCGUAAAGCGCACGCAGGCGGUUUGUUAAGUCAGAUGUGAAAUCCCCGGGCUCAACCUGGGAACUGCAUCUGAUACUGGCAAGCUUGAGUCUCGUAGAGGGGGGUAGAAUUCCAGGUGUAGCGGUGAAAUGCGUAGAGAUCUGAAGGAAUACCAGUGGCGAAGGCGGCCCCCUGGACAAAGACUGACGCUCAGAUGCGAAAGCGUGGGGAGCAAACAGGAUUAGAUACCCCAGUAGUC